AACGAACGCUGGCGGCAUGCCUAACACAUGCAAGUCGAACGAGACCUUCGGGUCUAGUGGCGCACGGGUGCGUAACGCGUGGGAACCUGCCCUUAGGUUCGGAAUAACUCCCCGAAAGGGGUGCUAAUACCGGAUAAUGUCUUCGGACCAAAGAUUUAUCGCCUUUGGAUGGGCCCGCGUUGGAUUAGCUAGUUGGUAGGGUAAAAGCCUACCAAGGCGACGAUCCAUAGCUGGUCUGAGAGGAUGAUCAGCCACACUGGGACUGAGACACGGCCCAGACUCCUACGGGAGGCAGCAGUAGGGAAUAUUGGACAAUGGGCGAAAGCCUGAUCCAGCAAGGCCGCGUGAGUGAUGAAGGCCUUAGGGUUGUAAAGCUCUUUUACCCGGGAUGAUAAUGACAGUACCGGGAGAAUAAGCUCCGGCUAACUCCGU
rnacentral:rRNA from 1 species